rnacentral:rRNA from 1 species
CCAGACUCCUACGGGAGGCAGCAGUGGGGGAUAUUGCACAAUGGGGGGAACCCUGAUGCAGCGACGCCGCGUGGGUGAAGAAGCGCCUCGGCGCGUAAAGCCCUGUCAGCAGGGAAGAAAAUGACGGUACCUGAAGAAGAAGCCCCGGCUAACUACGUGCCAGCAGCCGCGGUAAUACGUAGGGGGCAAGCGUUAUCCGGAUUUACUGGGUGUAAAGGGGGCGCAGACGGCGAUGCAAGCCAGGAGUGAAAGCCCGGGGCCCAAACCCGGAACUGCUUUGGAAACUGAGCAGCUAGAGUGCAGGAGAGGUAAGUGGAAUUCCUAGUGUAGCGGUGAAAUGCGUAGAUAUUAGGAGGAACACCAGUGGCGAAGGCGGCGUACUGGACGAAAACUGACGUUGAGGCUCGAAAGCGUGGGGAGCAAACAGGAUUAGAUACCCGCGUAAAC